rnacentral:rRNA from 1 species
GGUGAACGCUGGCGGCGUGCUUAAGACAUGCAAGUCGAACGGGCUCUUCGGAGCCAGUGGCGCACGGGUGAGUAACGCGUAACUGACCUACCCCAAAGUCGCGGAUAACGAUUCGAAAGAAUCGCUAAUACGUGAUGUGCUGUCAGAUCCUGUUCUGCCAGUAAAGAUUUAUUGCUUUGGGAUGGGGUUGCGUUCCAUCAGCUAGUUGGUGGGGUAAAGGCCCACUAAGGCGACGACGGAUCGCCGGCCUGAGAGGGUGGCCGGCCACAGGGGCACUGAGACACGGGUCCCACUCCUACGGGAGGCAGCAGUUAGAAAUCUUCCACAAUGGGCGAAAGCCUGAUGGAGCGACGCCGCGUGAGGGAUGAAGGUCUUCGGAUCGUAAACCUCUGAAUCAGGGACGAAAGACGCGAAAGCGGGAUGACGGUACCUGAGUAAUAGCACCGGCUAACUCCGUG